CGCAGAGUAGCCGUUGACAUUAUAGUUGUGCAGGCACUUUGUUGACCCUAGAGAACCUCGGGCCAAUCGCACAACCCUGUGACGACGACUUUGCAUGCAGAUGUCAUUGAUAUCAACUUUCAAUGCCAGUUUCUGCGCCUACCAUGGUGACCACGGGUAACGGGGAAUCAGGGUUCCAUUCCGUACAGGGACCCUGAGAAACGGCUACCACAUGCAAGUAAGGCAGCAGGCGCGCAAAUGACCCACUCCCAACAUGGGAAGGUAGUGACG